GACGAACGCUGGCGGCGUGCUUAACACAUGCAAGUCGAACGAUGAACCCGGAGCUUGCUCCGGCGGAUUAGUGGCGAACGGGUGAGUAACACGUGAGUAACCUGCCCUUGACUCUGGGAUAACUGCUAGAAAUGGUAGCUAAUACCGGAUACGACCCUCGGCGGCAUCGCCAGGGGGUGGAAAGAAUGUCGGUCAAGGAUGGACUCGCGGCCUAUCAGCUAGUUGGUGAGGUAACGGCUCACCAAGGCGACGACGGGUAGCCGGCCUGAGAGGGGGACCGGCCAGACUGGGACUGAGACACGGCCCAGACUCGUACGGGAGGCAGCAGUGGGGAAUAUUGCACAAUGGGCGCAAGCCUGGUGCAGCAACGCCGCGUGAGGGAUGACGGCCUUCGGGUUGUAAACCUCUUUUAGUAGGGAAGAAGCGAAAGUGACGGUACCUGCAGAAAAAGCACCGGCUAACUACGUGCCAGCCGCCGCCGUAA
rnacentral:rRNA from 1 species